ACAGAGGAGCCAAGCGUUGUCCGGAUUGACUGGGCGUAAAGCGCACGCAGGCGGUCGCGCGCGUGGGGUGUGAAACCUGGCGGCUUAACUGCCAGACGCCAUCCCAUACGGCGCGACUCGAGCCAUGCAGAGGUCCAUGGAAUUGCCGGUGUAGUGGUGAAAUGCGUAGAGAUCGGCAGGAACACCCAGGGGGAAACCAGUGGACUGGGCAUGUGCUGACGCUCAGGUGCGAAAGCGUGGGGAGCGAACCGGAUUAGAUACCCGGGUAGUCCACGCCGUAAACGAUGAAUACUCGGCAUCUGGCGGGCGAUUUUCGUCCGCCGGGUGCCCCAGCUAACGCGGUAAGUAUUCCGCCUGGGAACUACGAGCGCAAGCUUA
rnacentral:rRNA from 1 species